rnacentral:rRNA from 1 species
UACAGAGGUCUCAAGCGUUGUUCGGAUUCAUUGGGCGUAAAGGGCGCGUAGGCGGCCCGCACAAGUCUGCGGUGAAAACCCCCGGCUUAACCGGGGGCCGGCCGUGGAAACUGUCGGGCUGGAGGCUGGGAGAGGGCAGCGGAAUUCCCGGUGUAGCGGUGAAAUGCGUAGAGAUCGGGAGGAACACCGGCGGCGAAGGCGGCUGCCUGGACCAGUCCUGACGCUGAGGCGCGAAAGCUAGGGGAGCAAACAGG